GGAACGCCGGAUCCAAGCACGGGUGUAAGAUUUCCCUUUUCAAAGGUGGAGAAUAAGAAAUGAGCCCGAGUGUGUAACGGCGUCCAUAGUGGGGUGGACGAGACAGAGGGGAUGGGGCAAGGAGCGCGGGUGGGGCUCUCACCGCGACUUGAAUGUGGAUGAGAGUGGGACGGUGACGGCGGGCGCGAAGGCGACGGCAUCGCUUCUCGGCCUUUUGGCUAAGAUCAAGUGUAGUAUCUGUUCUUAUCAGUUUAAUAUCUGAUACGUCCUCUAUCCGAGGACAAUAUAUUAAAUGGAUUUUUGGAGCAGGGAGAUGGAAUAGGAGCUUGCUCCGUCCACUCCACGCAUCGACCUGGUAUUGCAGUACCUCCAGGAACGGUGCACCACCUCCGGGGAUACAACGCGUUUGCUAAAAGUAGAAGGGGAGAGAGAGAGAGAGAGCAUGGGCGGGGCGGCUUGCAAACCAAGCGUCUGUGAUACGCCGUCUUGCCGGCUCAACUGCUCGUUGGAGUACCGUGGGGUUUCUGACCUGCGGGCAGCAAACGGAACUUCUUCCUCUUCGGCCCGCUGAGUAGCUGGCACUUGAAGGCAGGUGCCAACGCACCGGCGACACGCUUCCGUGUUUGCCCAGGAAAAACUGCGGUGCAGGUAAUAUAAGCCAUGUAUCGGGGCAGUCCAAGCAUCGUGGCUCCGCCGUUCAUGCUUGAUGCAUCUGUAGGCUCCGUUCUAGGUAUGCACAUCGUUUACGGGAUCAGCCACCGGCAGUUGCCUUACAACCCGUGAUGACAAAUCUCUGCCGGCUCUUUUGGGUCUCAUCCCUGUAUCUA
rnacentral:lncRNA from 1 species